UAGGUGGCAGGUGGGCAGCGUCAGGGCCAGGGGAGGUAGUGGCACCGCGGUAAAGCCCCAAAGCCCCGUGGGACGCUGGGAUCAGGAGGAGGGGUCACGAUCCGUCCCGCCCGCCCGCCUAACCGCUGCACCUCAGCAGGCCUGACAUGCACGCUCAGGGGGGGCGACCAACAAUACAGCAAGCCUGCACUGUAAUUAAAGCCUGGUCCAGACGUGAGACCGCGGCUGACACGGCAUGGGAUGGAGCAGAGACCCAGCAGACUGAUGUACAUAAAACGAGUGCAAAACGAACAGACAGAAACAGACGCGCAUGAGUAAUGGACGCCGCUGCAGACUCACCAAGGAAAAAGUAAUACAGGUUUGCACUGACAUGAAGAUGAGGUGUGUUCCUUUAAAUUGUCGAGUGAUCUUCACAGCCUGUCAUGUGCCGUGUGCCGAGAUUGGAUGGUUACCGGCUGGUUAUUGGGUGUUUGAUUGUAAGAUCCGUCAUUGGUUGACGUUUGACCUCCUGCUAACUUACUGCAGAGGAAGUCCAGCCCUGUGGAAAUCCUUCGGCUCUGUGUCUUUGAAACUUUAGCACUCUGCUUCUCUCUGUUGUGUCUUUGAGUGGCGAAUCCCU
ensembl:lncRNA